AGAAACUUUCCCUUUGUCUGUUGUUCUUCAGAGAAGGAGACAUGGAGCAGCAAUGCAAUGAGCAGGAAUGCUGUGUAAGGUUUGAACCAUCCUUUACUCAGGUGAGCAGCUCCAUUGGCUUCACUAGGACCACUCAGAUGAAUAAGGAUUGAAGAUGCAAGUCCAUACUCUGUACCUUGGUAUGGAGGGAAGACAGGGUUGGCCUCACAAAACCUGAAAGAAUCUUCCAUAACCCAAUUUAAAAUAUUAUAAUUGUAAUUUUUAUGAAUGCAUUCCUUAAGGACUAUAUUGUACAAGAUACUUAACAGAAGAACAAUUUUGAAAAUUAAAAAUA